UACGGGGGGGGCAAGCGUUGUUCGGAAUUACUGGGCGGAAAGGGCGCGUAGGCGGCCAUGCGUGUCUUCCGUGAAAUCCCUCGGCUUAACUGAGGACGUGCGGAAGAAACUGCAAGGCUCGAGUCCGGGAGAGGGGGGUGGAAUUCCCAGUGUAGCGGUGAAAUGCGUAGAUAUUGGGAGGAACACCGGUGGCGAAGGCGGCCCCCUGGACCGGUACUGACGCUGAGGCGCGAAAGCGUGGGUAGCAAACGGG
rnacentral:rRNA from 1 species